AUGAUUGAUCAAAAUCUAAGUAUCCUAAACUGGAAUGUUCGUGGAUUGAACUGCCCCAACCGCCGCUCGACCAUCCAAGAGACCAUCGCUGCCACGCCUUGCCAUUUAGUCUGUUUGCAGGAGACCAAGCUCGAACAGAUCGAUCUCUUCAUGGCUUCCUCACUCGGUGGUCUGAGGCUCAAAAGUUUUGCGCAAUGACCCGCCAUUGGUUCUCGUGGUGGCAUCCUGUUGUUGUGGGACGAAAACUUCAUCGAGGUUAAGGACAUUAGCACUGGAUCUUUUUUCAUGUCCGCUACAAUCACCAUUUCAUGUAACAACACUUAUUUCAAGUUCACAACCGUCUAUGGGCCAAUCUGA
rnacentral:rRNA from 1 species